rnacentral:rRNA from 1 species
AUGAACGCUGGCGGCGUGCCUAAUACAUGCCAGUCGAGCGAACAGACGAGGAGCUUGCUCCUCUGACGUUAGCGGCGGACGGGUGAGUAACACGUGGAUAACCUACCUAUAAGACUGGGAUAACUUCGGGAAACCGGAGCUAAUACCGGAUAAUAUAUUGAACCGCAUGGUUCAAUAGUGAAAGACGGGUUUGCUGUCACUUAUAGAUGGAUCCGCGCCGCAUUAGCUAGUUGGUAAGGUAACGGCUUACCAAGGCAACGAUGCGUAGCCGACCUGAGAGGGUGAUCGGCCACACUGGAACUGAGACACGGUCCAGACUCCUACGGGAGGCAGCAGUAGGGAAUCUUCCGCAAUGGGCGAAAGCCUGACGGAGCAACGCCGCGUGAGUGAUGAAGGUCUUCGGAUCGUAAAACUCUGUUAUUAGGGAAGAACAAAUGUGUAAGUAACUAUGCACGUCUUGACGGUACCUAAUCAGAAAGCCACGGCUAACUACGUG